rnacentral:rRNA from 1 species
UACAGAGACUGCAAGCGUUAUUCGGAUUCACUGGGCGUAAAGGGUGCGCAGGCGGCCGUGUGUGUCAGGUGUGAAAGCCCGGAGCUUAACUCCGGAAUUGCGCCUGAAACUACAUGGCUAGAGCAUUGGAGAGGGAAGUGGAAUUCACGGUGUAGCAGUGAAAUGCGUAGAUAUCGUGAGGAACACCAGUGGCGAAGGCGGCUUUCUGGACGAUAACUGACGCUGAGACGCGAAAAGCGUGGGGAGCAAACAGG